UCAGAGCAGCCUCGUCUAAGUCGAACAUUUAAUAGGCUGAUCUUCGAUAGAUAAUUUAUAAGACUUCCACUUCUUAUUGAUUAACUUUUCAUAACUCACUCCAGAAAAUAAAUUAUGCAUCUGUUGUCAUCGCAUCGGAGAUGCACAAACUGUCCUGAGAGGGUUGAUAAACCUUUGGAAGAAUUCAGAGCCAAGUCAGCUUCUUCUACAAAUAAACCAUGAUUGAGCAGAGGGAUGGCCUUGUUCCUGAAUGAGGCAAGUAGCAGCAGCAUCAGAGCGAAGCCUUGGCAAAUUAUUUGAUAUAGAAUAACAAGUAAUUCUCUCAUUUGCACCUGCAUUUUUCCAAAGGAAAGAGAACAUGCCCCUUCUGUAUUUUUUCAAUAGGAAGAGGAGAGCCAAAGUACACCUAUGUUAAUAUGACAGAACCCAGAGAGAAGCAGAGAGAA
rnacentral:lncRNA from 1 species